rfam:Roseburia sp. CAG:182 genomic scaffold, scf148
AGCAGAGUAGAAAUCUGUGCGUUAAGUGCCAUGUGAACAGGGAGUUGUCACACGGACGAAAAGCAAUCGCUUGCGGUACAGGCUUCGCAUCCCGCUGCU